rnacentral:lncRNA from 1 species
AAGAUAUUUCUUCGGUUAUGCAUUUUUUCUUUUAUUUUUCUAUAUUUUCUUAUGUCUAAGACUUAUAAUAUGACGUCACGCCUUAGCAUAGAAUUUGACAUCAGUAGAAUUUUCCGUUCUCCCAAGGUCCGAAUGAGUCCUGGAUUAAGUAAUAACUUCGAAUCGCUUUGACUUCGGUGGACCUGAUAAAAAAUAGACUUUGUUAAAAUUUUGUUGAACGUUUUGACUGGACACAAUUAUUCUUUACCAAAUAUGGCUCUUUUCAUGGCCGUAAAUUGAUACCUAGCAACUUGACCAGGUCUGAAGUUAUUUCUCGUGUAUUAAAAAUAUUUAAGGAUCUUACUUUUUAAGUACUGACUUAGAAGUCUCUAAGCCGUUCAAGUUGUCUGUGGCCCUUCAUGUUUGGCCCUGCUAGUAGGCUCGGUGCCUCUGGUAUUUAGUAGCCCGAAUUUUCUGAUCUUAUCGUCGGGUAGCAGUCCCCGAUCUGGGGAGGCCCGUUGUCUUAAGGGUUUUGAACCCAACUUUCGUUCUAAGUAACUUUAACGAUAAUAUUGAUUAUGCAAAUGUGAACCAAUGAAACAUAGAGUCAAAUUUCAUUUAUUACUUUGAAUGUCAUGCAAAUAAUUAACGGUACAAACACUAUCUACCGUAGCGAGAAUGAGCUAUGUAGACACGGUUCAUUUGACCAUUUUACUCUUAUAAUUAAUCCUAAUAUUCAAGCCUAGUCUUUAAAUAUUGAAUAAGAAUGCAUUCUAAAAUUUCAAACUUUGGAUUUCAGUUCUUGACUUAGGGUGUGAUGGCCCUCUAGUUUUCAAGACAGAAUUUUGAGGGCUCGAAUACUAUUGAUCUGUUAUGGAAAAUUCGCAGUACUCGAUCUUAGAAUGGUCUUCACAACUAGGGUAGCAUGUUUACUGUUGCCUUAUUAAAAACCUUGCCGUUUAACCUUCUUCGGGAAAAAAUCGGUCCAAGGAAAAAAGUGUGCAACACGUGUUUUCAAACCUAAUCCUUAAAUUUGACUCCAACUAGGUGUUGCACUCUAUCUUGCACUAGUUAAAAUAUGAUUCAACUUGUGGUUUCUCUGUUGUUAAUGAAAGAAGAUCACCACAUAAUAUUUAAAGAUAUACUAGUGUACAUAUUUAAUUACUAAAGGUCAUAUUCUUUGUUAGUCUGCUAACCGAUGAGAUUAUGGGUAAGGGUCCUUGCUCUCCUCAGACGAAGGUGUUAGGCACCCCUGAAAAUCUAUAGGAGGUAGCUCCAUAGGACUUAUAGCCUAUUUGGCCAAGCUGCAAAAAUUAGCUUAUUUUGAGAAGUAUUUUUUCCUUAAAAGUACUUUUGGUAAGAAACAGUUUGUAUUUGGUUAAUUAAUUUGAAGAGCACUUCUGAGCAACAAUUAUUAUUUGGUCAGGCUUUUGAAAUUGCUUCUAAGUAUUUUUUCUCAAAAGUACUUAUGGAGAGAAGCUACUUUUUUCUUGCUUUUGCUUGUCUUCGUAAGCACUUUUUUCUUUUCUUCUAAAAGCUUGGCCAAAUACAUAAACUUUGAAAAAAGCACAUUUUUUGAAAAAAAAGGUACUUCUAAGCUUGGAGAAGCUUGGCCAAACAGACUAGCAAAAUGCAAACUGUUUCACACAAUUUUAUUUUUGAAAAUCACUUAUUAAAAUAAGCUGAUUUUAGAAGCUUGGCCAAACGUGCUAUUAGACUAGAUUUAGGACUAAUUGUUUGUACUAUGCGUUAUCUAGUGUUUAAAAGAGUGUAGCUUACCAUAUAUAUUAGGGUGUAAUACCUAUAAAGAAGGAUUGUAGUUUAGAGAGGAUGUAUUUAAAAAUGAAACUUCGUGUCACACCUCCUUUUUUUGAUACUCCCGAAAGAGAGUACAAGGGAGUUUUUUUCAACUUAAACUGACAAUCGAAACAGGAUUAUUUAUUUACUAAAUUCAGAGUCGCCACUUGAGAAUAUUUAGGGUGUCCUAAGUCACCGGUUUCAAAUCCCGAAUCAAGGAAAGAUUGACUAUGUUUCACAGUCCGUGAACACAGAAAUCGGGGUAAGAUAUUCUGUUAACUCGGGAGAAGGUUUUAGGCAUUCCUGAGUUUUGUGGUUCUAGCACGGCCGCUCAACUGUUAUAACUGGUCUAUCAUGGGAUUUUAAAACAUGUUUUAGCCUAUAGUGCAAUUAUAAACUUUAUAACCGCUUUUAAUUAUUUAAAAAAAAUAUUGCAACGUCAUUUAAAAUACGUCUUGAACCACGACACAUAAAUUCACCAGCGGCUCUCGACAUAUUUUAUCUAACCUUGUUGGGAUUUGGAUAUUACUAAAAUAACCCGCCUAAAGCAACUACAUGUUUACAACUUUGCAAGGGCCAUGGAAAUUCAACUAAAUGGCACCACUCAAUUCUAAUUUCAAAGGAUUAUACUCAACAAAAGCCAACUAAGAUGUUUACAGUUUCAAAAGAAUUCUCUAAGUUUGUUGUGAAAGGCCAUAUAUUAUAGACUUUAGAGCAGAUGAGGUCCACACAGAUUAAUCGACAGUGCAAAUUAGUAUACAACGUCCAAUACAACAAACGAAGAAAGGCACAUUCAAACAACUUUGACAUCUCACAUGGAAACCAGUAAUUAAUCACUACACGCACUAAAUUUGAAAUUAAGAGGAAUUGAUUCCAAGCAAAUUAUCCGUUUGACCAAGAUUGAAAUAUAUGAAGCUAAGGUCAAAACCCAUUUGACGAAUACCCAGUAAUAAAGAGACGAAUAUGACAUUGAGCAGUAACAAUCAAAUUCCAAAUAUGGCUAAAAUUGUAAAAUAAUUAUAUAAACCCUCCAUCUUAAACACAAACGGUAAAAAUAACUACAGUUUAGAUUCUAUGGAAUACCACCCACGCCAAUUUAAUAAAAUUCAACUAAACUAUUGAACAAGAUAAUCAAAUCUAAUUUAAUCAAAUUCAAAGUGUGAAGAUAUUCAAGCAAUUUGCACCAAUAGUGCAAAAUUCCAAACUCAUAUAAUCAAAAACAUGUAAAUAAAAAAAAGGAAAGAAUUGAACCUCAAGUUGCCUUCAAUUAAUAAAACUUCCAGCAAUUACAUGGAUGGAAACAAACCACAACCAUGAUCAGAACUCAAUUCGAGACAGGACUCUCGAACACGAACCUUGACGAAAUCCUCGAAUCGGUACAAGAAAUUUUGAAUCCAUACACAACAUCAAAUGACCUUCAUUAUGGAAUGAAAAUCAGAGGAAAACACCUCUAAUUUUGAGACGAAAGUCCGAAAAAUGGAAGAAGAAAACCAAAAUAUUUUUCGUUUUUGUAUGAGUGAAGGAAUCACGACUGUGUUUUGGAGUUUCAAGCCAGAUCCGUUACUAAUGGCAUCGCCACUCUCCGGUGAUCAAUUCGGGCAAAGAAACAGCUCAAGUGAGGAAGCUGAAGGGAGAUAGGCUAGAUUUUCUCUUGGGGUAGGUCAUUCAUGGCGGAACUGGUGAACACCGGUUGCCGUUGUCUUUGUUUUAGAGAGGGAGGUCGUUGGUCCGUGUGUGUGUUUUCAGGCGAAUUUGGUGGUGAAGGGAUGAGCUGGAGGGUCUGUUAUAAAGACAAUAUCCAGGGAAA